CAAUAGCGUAUAUUUAAGUUGUUGCAGUUAAAAAGCUCGUAGUUGGAUUUCGGGUUGGCUUCAGCGGUCUCGCUUUGCGUUUGUACUGCCGCAGCCUUCCUUCUUGCUGGGGACGGACCUCCGGGCUUCAUUGCUUGGGGUCUGGAAUCAGCGACGUUACUUUGAGUGAAUUAGAGUGUUCAAAGCAAGCCUACGCUCUGAAUAUAAUAGCAUGGGAUAACACGACAGGACUCUGGCCUAUCGUGUUGGUCUGUAGGACCAGAGUAAUGAUUAAGAGGGACAGUCGGGGGCAUUCGUAUUCCGUUGUCAGAGGUGAAAUUCUUGGAUUUACGGAAGACGAACAUCUGCGAAAGCAUUUGCCAAGGAUGUUUUCAUUGA
rnacentral:rRNA from 1 species